rnacentral:lncRNA from 1 species
UUUUCUUUGAGGAUUGUUAACUAGGGAAAAGCACCCUUCAAUUUCCCCUCUGACAACCUCCCAGGCACAGAGGCCUUAUUCCCUUUACUUCACAUAGGGAAUGAUUCUUUGGAAAUAUUUCCAGACAGCAAUUCCUAAAUAGAGACAAGAUAGAUUUUCUACUUUUGCAGAAAUGUACUUUUGUCAGCUGCAGUCGUUCCAGACUGUGAUCAAGUCUGGAGAGUCGUUUAUUGAGGAGGAUCUUAUGCCAAACAGCCAGUGUGUCGUCCCUGGGGAAGAGGCUGAAGAUCUGCUGGAGCAGCUGACGGUGGAAACGGAUGUCUCCUGUCUUCUGGAUUUGGGUGAUAGUUCCUCGUUUCCUAGAAAACUUGAACCAUGGCUCCAAGACUUGUCCCUGCCAAGUGAGCAGGCAGCGCUGGAGAUGAGCAUGAUGACUCCCGCCAUUACCAGGGAGGUGUAGGCCACUGUGAUUUCAGAGAUUCACUAGCCGGCCUCGAAGGGGCGCGGGCCCGCUGCGCAAAGAGCGCAAAGCUCCCAGCGCUGCGCACCACGGCCGCAGCAAGGCGCCAGAAUGGGUUUUCCUGAUGCCCAGGAUUUGGGAACCGCGGGUUUGAGUUUCGGGGCGUCCCGCAGCCCCAGGGAAACGUCGUCGCGGCUUAUCGCGCCAACUUUGUGCAGCUUCGACCUGAGUAAAAAAAUCUCUUUUGCUGCUCAGGAGGCAGCUCCGCCGUGGUCUCCCUUGAGACAUCUUCCUCAGGUAGCCAGCAGGGCACCUUUUAUUUUCGGGAUUUUCCCCUGGGUUUGGGGCUUUUAUUUCCCAUAGAGACUUCAGCGAGACUUGUUUUUACAGAGGGACCCGUUGAUUCCGGGACUUGAGGGCUCGAGAUCGCACGGGUUUAAUCUUGGGGAUUCCGUUUGUGUGGGGGCGCAGGGCGGGGACGUCUUGGGGAAGGGGACACGCUGGACCCUGGGGCGAGCGGACGGGUCCUGGGAGCGCCCGGGGCUGGGGACGCCGCGCACCGGGCCAGGAGCAGAGAGGCGCCCGUGCCUGCCCCAGGGUGUGCCAGGAGCUAAGCUUUCAGCUUCAGACGCCAGUGUCGCUGAAACCAUAAUUCAGAGUUUCCAUUUAGGAGGCGCCAAUGUGCAAGACCCUGAGAGUGUCAGGGGAGCUGCAAUCAAAGCUUUUCUUGGAUGGACUUGGUUGAAUAUGGACUAUACAGAUUAUAAAUACAUGGUUGUAUGUAUAUAUAUAUUUUUUCUAUAUAGUUCACAAAUGCAAACUAUAUAGAUUAUACUAAAGGUUACUAUCUGUAUUAGUCUGUUCUCAUGCUGCUACUAAAGACAUACCCAAGACUGAGUAAUUUAUAAAGGAAAGAGGUUUAAUUGACUCACAGUUCCACAUGGCUGGGGAGGCCUCACAAUCAUGGCGGAAGGUGAAUGAGGAGCAAAGUCAUGUCUUACAUGGUGGCAGGCAAGAGAGAGCUUGUGCAGGGAGGAGAACCCCCAUUUAUAAAACCAUUGGAUCUUGUGAGACUUAUUCGCUACCACGAGAACAAUAUGGGAGAAACUGCCCCCAUGAUUCAAUUAUCUCCACCUGGCCCCACUAUUGACAUGUGGGAAUUAUUACAAUUCAAGGUGAGAUUUGGGUGGAGACACAGCCAAACCACAUCACUAUAAUUUAUCAUGUUCAGAUUCUCAGCCAGUAAUUUCCAAACUUUAUUUCAUUUAAUCUUUACAGUUUCUAAUAUGACAACUACUAAAAUAUUCUGAAUUUUUCAGAAGAGGAAAUGAAAAUCUGAUGUUUAACUUGCUAAGAGUCACAGAUUUUGUCAGAAAGUGGAGCUUUCUACUGCCUCCAACUCCCCUCUUGAUUUGCUCUCAGUACUUCCUCUUGGCAGCACUGAGAAUGCUAGUGCUUAAUUAAUCAUAAUCGUGUCUUUAAUGUCUGGCUUUUGCUCCCUGGAGGGCAAUCAUCAUCCUGUCUUAUUAUCCUUGAACCCACAUUGCCAAGCACAUUGUUUGUCCCGUAUAUGCAGUGAACACAUUUUUAGUGACAGAAUGAAGACAACUGGAUGAGUUAACCGUUGGUAUGCCAGUUUUAUGCCCUGUGAUCUGUAGAUUGUGAUCUGUGGCUCCUGUAAAGAAAGGUGGAAGAAAUCAAAUCUAGUGCAUUAGCCCCUUAAAAGGGAAAUGGAGAGAGGUGAGGAAAUGUGUAUUUCAGUGCAGUUUAAUAUGUAAAAAUGGGCCAGGCACAGUGGCUCACGCCUGUAAUCCUAGCACUUGGGAGGCCGAGGCAGGCAGAUCACUUGAGGCGAGGAGUUCGAAACCAGCCUGGCCAACAUGGUGAAAACCUGUCUCUACUAAAAAUACAGAAAAAUUAGCCAGGCAUGGUGGCAGGUUCCUGUAAUCCCAGCUACUUGGGAGGCUGAGGCAGGAGAAUUGCUUGAACCCAGGAGGCAGAGGUUGCAGUGAGCAGAGAUCGCACCAUUGCACUCCAGCCUG